AUCCUCCAAACAGAAACCAAAAAAGUCAGUUAGCUGAUCUCUUACACAGAGAGAAAGAAAUAUUUGAAACCCUAGCUAAUAAACCCUAUUUUUUUCGAGAAAAGAGAAAAAGCUUCAAUGGCAUCGAAGUUUGGGUUAGCCGGAGGGAUACCGGAACGGCGAGUGAGACCGAUUUGGGAUGCAAUCGAUUCUCGUCAGUUCAAGAAUGCGCUUAAACACUCCACUUCACUCCUCGCUAAAUGCCCUAAUUCACCUUACGCACUCGCGCUAAAAUCACUCAUCUUGGAAAGGAUGGGUAAAUCUGAUGAGGCAUUAUCAGUUUGCUUAAAUGCAAAGGAGCUUUUAUACAAGAAUGAUUCCUUGUUAAUGGAUGAUCUAACUCUCAGUACAUUGCAGAUUGUUUUUCAACGGCUUGAUCGCUUGGAUUUGGCUACUGGAUGCUAUGAGUAUGCUUGCAGUAAAUUUCCAAGCAAUUUGGAACUAAUGAUGGGACUUUUCAAUUGUUAUGUUCGUGAGUAUUCAUUUGUGAAGCAGCAGCAGACAGCCAUCAAAAUGUACAAGCUUGUUGGUGAAGAGAGGUUUUUGCUCUGGGCAGUUUGUAGCAUCCAAUUACAGGUAUUUUGUGGCAAUGGAGGAGAGAAACUAGCAAUGCUAGCUGAAGGGUUACUUAAGAAGCAUGUAGCUUCCCACAGCUUGCAUGAGCCUGAAGCUCUUAUGGUCUAUAUUUCCAUAUUAGAACAGCAAGAAAAGUAUGGUGAUGCAUUGGAAAUUCUCUCGGGGCAAUUGGGAUCACUAUUAAUGAUUGAAGUUGAUAAGCUACGUAUACAGGGGAGGCUUCUUGCUCGGUCAGGUGACUAUGCUACAAGUGCCAACAUAUAUCAGAAGAUUUUAGAACUAUGCCCUGAUGAUUGGGAGUGUUUCCUACAUUAUCUAGGCUGUUUGCUGGAGGAUGGCAGCAGCUGGAGCAAUGGAGCCAACAAUGAUCCAAUUAAUCCCCCAAAACCCGUGGAUUGCAAAGUCUCUCAAUUGGCAGAUGAUGUGUUUCAUUCUCGAAUAUCGACUUCAUUAGCUUUUGUGAAAAAAUUACAAGCAGACACCAGUAAUGAUUUUAUUAGGUGUCCAUACUUGGCAACUCUUGAAAUUGAGAGGAGGAAGCGAUUAUAUGGAAAGGGAAAUGAUGAUGAUAUUGUGGAGGCUCUAAUGCUAUAUUUCCUCAAGUUUGGUCACUUAGCAAGCUUCAGUUCUGAUGUUGAGGCAUUUCUGCAAGUCUUAACUCCAGAUAAAAAGACGGAGUUUCUUGCAAAGUUGAUAAAAACUUUGGACUCCUCUGCUACUGCACCAACUAAAGUGCUUGGACAAUCAAUCACCAUUUUCAAAAUUCAGGAGUUGACUGGGAACAUGUAUAAGCUCCCUGUGCUUGAACUUGAAGGCUGUGCCGUACAAAUGGUGGAGAUGUAUUGUAAAAGUCUUCCACUUUCAAAGGAUUUGGAUCCACAAGAGAGCAUGCAUGGUGAAGAGCUGCUAUCUAUGGUGUGCAAUGUGUUGGUUCAGCUAUUCUGGCGUACAAGACAUCUUGGCUACUUCAUCGAGGCAAUUAUGGUUUUGGAGUUUGGCCUGACUAUUCGAAGAUAUAUAUGGCAGUACAAGAUCUUGUUGCUGCACUUGUAUUCACACUUGGGUGCAAUUUCGUUAGCUUAUGAGUGGUAUAAAUCCUUGGACGUGAAGAAUAUUCUGAUGGAAACUGUUUCCCAUCACAUCUUGCCGCAGAUGUUGGUAUCUCCUCUUUGGGGGGAUUUAAAUAAUCUGCUGAAAGAUUAUCUCAGGUUUAUGGAUGACCACUUCAGGGAAUCUGCAGAUCUGACAUUCCUUGCUUAUCGCCACAGAAACUAUUCUAAAGUAAUAGAGUUUGUUCAAUUCAAGGAGCGAUUGCAACGAUCUAAUCAGUAUUUAGUUGCAAGGGUUGAGACACCCAUUCUACAGCUAAAACAAAAGGCAGAUAACAUUGAAGAAGAAGAGGGUGUUCUUGAAAACUUGAAUGGCGGGGUUCACUUUGUUGAGCUCUCCAAUGAGAUUGGAUCCAAAACCUUGACAUUCAAUGAAGAUUUCCAAUCACGGCCUUGGUGGACACCAACUACAGAGAAAAAUUAUCUCUUAGGUCCAUUUGAAGGAGUAUCAUAUUGUCCCAAGGAAAACUUGACAAAAGAAAGGGAAGAAAAUGUGCGGGGAGUUAUUGAAAAGAAAUCCCUUCUCCCUCGGAUGAUUUAUCUGUCUAUUCACAGUGCUUCAGCAUCACUUAAGGAGAGUGUUGAAGAAAAUGGGUCCAUAUCUGGGUCAAAAAUCUCCUCAGAGUUUAAGUUUUUGCUUGAGCGCCAUGCAAAGAUGUUAGGCUUUUCUUUAAGUGAUGCAGUUGAAGUGGUUAUGGGUGUUUCCAGUGGUGUAAAAUCCUUUGAGGCUUUUGGUUCAGACGAGAUUGACUGGAUAAACUUUGCUGUCUUUUUGAAUGCUUGGAAUUUGAAUUCCCACGAGCCAUUACAGCCAAAUGGAGAUCAGUGUGGCCGUGGUAUUUGGUACGUAGUGGAUACUUUGCUGGUGAAAUAUAUUUCAGAGAAGAUCAAAUCCAUGGAGUCUCUUAUUUGCUCUUCAAGGGUUGAUCUUCCAAUUUUAGUGCAAUUGGUUACAGAGCCAUUGGCCUGGCAUGGUCUUGUGAUUCAAUCUUGUGUUCGAUCUUCUCUUCCAUCUGGAAAGAAAAAGAAGAAAGGUGGGCCUGUGGACCAGCAUUCAUCUCUGGUGUUUAAUGACAUUAGGGAUUCAAUCCAGUCUUUAUGUGAUAUAGUCAAGGAGGUUGCAAAAUGGAUCAGAGGUCAGAUUGACAGACCAGAGGAUGAGAGUGUGGAAAUUAUACUUUCCUCUCUUAGGAAAAAGGAACAAGAUGAAGGGCCUGGGCGUGUUUUCCAUGUUCUGGAAAGUUUAAUUCCAUCAAUAAAUGAGGCUGAACUUGGUGAUCGGAUCUCCCAAGAAUUGAAGACAUGGAGUCCCCUUGAUGUUGCAAGGAAGAUAGUGACCGGGGACUCUACAUUAUUGUCCCAGUUUCUUAAUAUUUGCGAGUCAAAAAUCAAGUCAUUUCAGGCAUUGAAUCAGCAGAUAGCUCAAAUAUAAAGUGUGUUUUGCUUAAUGUGUUUCCCCUGAUCAGCAGGCAUUUUGCUUCAGCUUUGGGAGCUGCAUCUGAUCUGGAAUUACUGCGCUACUUUUCAGCAACAGAAAGAGUUGAAUGGAUUGUUCAAGCUCUGCACUGAUGCUCUAUUUGGACUUGUAGUUUACCAUGAGAUUUCCCUGCCAGAUUGUUGUCAGCCAGCCUCCAUCGUGGCCAGCCAGUUCUGUUUGAGCGGUUUUGGAAAUGUUGUGCCAGAUUUUCACAAUUUAUUUGGAUAUUCUUUCAAUUUUUACACAGAACAGGUGUCCCUGAUGAUGUAUUUUUCCAAAGAAUUUUGAGGGAGGGAGUUCAGGAAGACGACAAGAAGUUGCUCGAGCAGACUGGUCUGGCCUCUUAUUUCAAUUUUUUCACCUAAUAUAGUGGAAAAGGUACUUUAUGAAUUGAUCGGUGCCUUGAUUGAUGUUUAUAUAUAUAUAUAUAUAUAUAUAUAUAUAUAUAUAUAUAUAUAUAUAUAUAUAUAUAGUUGAUCUGUUUGACAAACAAGUAAGAACUACCGUAGGUAGGCUGUUUAAAAAUCGAAUGCUACUCCUUGACAAUCCAUGCUUUUUUCACCAAAGCCCUAUCUAUAGAGUGCGUGAUAGUCUUCCAAAAUCCUUUCAUUGAAAGUAAAUUUAGUUGGAUGUGUAUCUCAUGUAUUACGUAAGUGGGAUUUAAUUAAUGAAUAUUUAUUAAUUUAAUUGUUAAUAUUUUUUGGUA